AACGAACGCUGGCGGCAUGCCUAACACAUGCAAGUCGAACGAGACCUUCGGGUCUAGUGGCGCACGGGUGCGUAACGCAUGGGAACCUGCCCUUAGGUUCGGAAUAACUCCCCGAAAGGGGUGCUAAUACCGGAUAAUGUCUUCGGACCAAAGAUUUAUCGCCUUUGGAUGGGCCCGCGUUGGAUUAGCUAGUUGGUAGGGUAAAAGCCUACCAAGGCGACGAUCCAUAGCUGGUCUGAGAGGAUGAUCAGCCACACUGGGACUGAGACACGGCCCAGACUCCUACGGGAGGCAGCAGUGGGGAAUAUGGGACAAUGGGCGAAAGCCUGAUCCAGCAAUGCCGCGUGAGUGAUGAAGGCCUUAGGGUUGUAAAGCUCUUUUACCCGGGAUGAUAAUGACAGUACCGGGAGAAUAAGCUCCGGCUAACUCCGU
rnacentral:rRNA from 1 species